GUAGGGAGCGAGCGUUAUCCGGAUUUAUUGGGUGUAAAGGGUGCGUAGACGGGAAAACAAGUUAGUUGUGAAAUCCCUCGGCUUAACUGAGGAACUGCAACUAAAACUAUUUUUCUUGAGUGUUGGAGAGGAAAGUGGAAUUCCUAGUGUAGCGGUGAAAUGCGUAGAUAUUAGGAGGAACACCAGUGGCGAAGGCGACUUUCUGGACAAUAACUGACGUUGAGGCACGAAAGUGUGGGGAGCAAACAGGAUUAGAUACCCUGGUAGUCCACACCGUAAACGAUGGAUACUAGGUGUAGGAUGUGAUAAACAUUCUGUGCCGUCGCAAACGCAGUAAGUAUCCCACCUGGGGAGUACGGCCGCAAGGUUG
rnacentral:rRNA from 1 species